CCUGGAACACAUAAGGUACAAAUCACAGAAUCACUAGAUUGGAAGAGACGUUUAAGAUCAUCAAGUCCCACCUAUGCCCUAACUCCACUCAACUAAACCAUGUCACCAAGUGCUACAUCCUGUCUUUUUCUUACCAUCCAGAGAUGGUGACUCUACCAUCUCCCCGGGCAGACAAUUUCAGCACUUUAUCACUCUUUCAGUAAGAAACUUUUUUCUAACAUCCAACCUAUAUUUCCCUUGAUGCAGCUUGAGACUGUGACCUCUGGUUUUGUCAGUUGCUGCCUGAAGAAAGAGACCAACCCCCACCUGACUAUAACCAACUUUCAGGAAGCUGUAGAGAGUGAUAAGAAGGAUAAGCUCUCAAAGCAUAACGCAACAAUCCUCCUUUGGUCUACAAGAGACGAAAUUGAAGGAAAUUUAAUGCAAGCAUUUUUAACAUAAUUCACAUUCAUGGUUUUUGUAUACCACUCCAUAAAGGAAAUUACUUUGUUGUUACCAGGUUUCUGGAUGAAGAUGUUUACUGGUCAUCGCUAUACUGCAAAAAGGCACAAAUACAACGAGGAGAAGUAUUUUGAUUUGCUAUAGGAAAUGAAGAGAAGUGGAAGGAAUGUAACCAUUCUAUCAGCUUUACAGUCUUUGACGUUGUUUUCCCCUCCCCCUCCCCUUGCAUUGCCCACAGCUGUUGAUGUAGAUUUUCCACAUGCAUUUGUUUUCUUUCACUCAAGGGAUAUUAAAGGGAAACUGCACAAUUGCUGUUUACUAAGUACUGAACCAUCU